UUGGAGGUAAUUGGUGGGAGAGAAAUGGAAUUUAGCUACGAGAGAUUAAAAUUCUAUUGUUUGUUUAGAGGGUACGGGAGUUUUAGUGGAAUAAAGAAUAAGAGGUUAGAUGAGCAAUUCCCACCUAUCACUUCAUAGGGGAGGGUGAGGAUUAUUUUAGAUGGAAGAUGGAUGCAUAUGCAUCGUUAAUCAUGACUUCAGAUAUAAUUCCUCACCUCUAAACUCCCCCUCUUAAUUUUCUCGGAAAAACAAACAAGAUAAUCAGACUAAGGAUCAUAGUCCUAAGUGAAUUCUCUUCGCCAAUUCUCACCGCUAAUUUUCAUGCCUCAUCUCGUUAG
rnacentral:lncRNA from 1 species